rnacentral:rRNA from 1 species
GGCGGACGGGUGAGUAACGCGUGGGAACGUGCCCUUCUCUAUGGAAUAGCCACUGGAAACGGUGAGUAAUACCAUAUACGCCCUUCGGGGGAAAGAUUUAUCGGAGAAGGAUCGGCCCGCGUUAGAUUAGGUAGUUGGUGGGGUAAUGGCCUACCAAGCCUACGAUCUAUAGCUGGUUUUAGAGGAUGAUCAGCCACACUGGGACUGAGACACGGCCCAGACUCCUACGGGAGGCAGCAGUGGGGAAUCUUAGACAAUGGGCGCAAGCCUGAUCUAGCCAUGCCGCGUGAGUGAUGAAGGCCUUAGGGUCGUAAAGCUCUUUCGCCAGAGAUGAUAAUGACAGUAUCUGGUAAAGAAACCCCGGCUAACUCCGUGCCAGCAGCCGCGGUAAUACGGAGGGGGUUAGCGUUGUUCGGAAUUGCUGGGCGUAAAGCGCACGUAGGCGGAUUAGAAAGUUAGGGGUGAAAUCCCGGGGCUCAACCUCGGAACUGCCUCUAAAACUCCUAGUCUAGAGUUCGAGAGAGGUGAGUGGAAUUCCAAGUGUAGAGGUGAAAUUCGUAGAUAUUUGGAGGAACACCAGUGGCGAAGGCGGCUCACUGGCUCGAUACUGACGCUGAGGUGCGAAAGUGUGGGGAGCAAACAGGAUUAGAUACCCUGGUAGUCCACACCGU